CUCCUCUUUCUCAAUACGACGAAAACGUUCCUGCUCGAGAGGAUCUUGGUUGCACUUGAUCGCGGACCAAAUAGUGGUAGCAAUCGACAUUGCAACGCAGAUGCUCAGUGCAUAGGCUCUCACUUGCCUUGACAUGUGCUUGGUUCCAGCCGCAGAAGCAAUGCCAAAAACUACUCCCAUGGUAAGGGAAUAACCGAAAAACCAUACGAACCAAUACUGCAAAAACCCAGAGUGAAUAAUAUAAGUAUGAAAAGCUCUAGUUGAGACACUUAUUUUAAUAUGGAAAAUCUUGACAAUAGAAUACAAAUAAGAGUACGUACCCAGGGACGAAAGAAUGGGGACAGUAUUCCAUCACAUGCAACUCUCGCUGCAUUGUACUCUUUUUCGUCCUCGUAGUAGGCCGCCGUGAGCCUGUGGUACCAGAGUUUCCCAACACGUCCCUCUCGGAGUGCAAACAGAGGUAAGGUCGAUAGGAUAUCGGUGCUGGCGUCUCUCUUAGCGACAAUGACUUUUGGGCAGCGGGUUCUACAGAUGCAGCAACGUUUGUUACGAUGGAAGAAACGGAUGCGCACCAUGCACUUGCGACAGACAACACGGUGGCCACACCGCCCGAUAGCCACCCACUCUGAAGGGUGAGUGCAUACAACACAAUAGUUCUUGGGGUCGGCAUCAUCUUGAGGUGCUAUAUCAAUGACAUGAUCUUGACAUCCGGUAUCACCGUUGGUGUUUACACCGUCAUCUCCACUAUUAUGACAUGCGGUGCUUUCGCGUGUCAUACCAGACUCGACAUCCUUCACAUCUUCGUGGCUCUUUGUAUUACCAUUGACAUUAAGGGCUUGUUCGGUUCGAAAAGUAUUGAAAGGGGUUGAACGGGAUUGUGAAGAAUUAAAUACCUUCCAAAUCACUCCCAUUACCUCCCAAUCCACCUCAAUCCCCUUAGAAAGAGGAUCAAGAUCUGCUACCACCCUGACAUUUUCAACCUGCGAGGGCGGUGGUGGUAGGACCUCACGCUCCACCAGAUCCCUGCCAUCCAAGAUGUUGUCUGGCACGCCACCGUGCUUCACCAGCUUACCGGUGAACAAGAAGCUCUCAUUUGAGUUCAGAAGGAGGUUAUCCAGAGUGCUUGGCUGAUAAAGAAGACAGAUACUAUCAAAAUCAAAUUGAAGUUUACAUGCAAAAAUGUACGUAAGACGGUAAAAGCAAACUAGGAAUUUACCGUGAUGGCUGUGUGAAUGCUGUCCAUAAAACUGCUGUCAGAUGAUAUGGCCGAGCUUGCCUUCCAAAUAGAUUUGUUUAGCUGCUGUGCUUGCUUCUCUGACCUGGAAGCAGCAGACAUAGUCAGUUUUUUUACCCCCUUUCGAGACAACCAAAGAUAUGGGAUCACAGAAUGCAUUACUAUGAAACAGCAUACGCUACCUUGAAGCAAUGUUCGAUUCAAGAGCAGCUAGAAGGGCUUUGACGACGAGAGAUUUGAAUUAUAAAAGAAAAAGAAAAGCCUACAUGUUUCAUAUAUAUUUUAAUAAAGAAAACAAUGUAAAGAUAUUUUAGAGAAACAUCCUUAGCAAGUUAUAUUUAUAUAUGAAAAGACGAUGUAGAACUUAGUCAAAUUUUAUUUAUAAACAUUCACAUAUAAUUUAUGCAAAUGAAAUAUUUAAUUUAAAAAUAAAGUAUAUAUAAAUAUCUAAACGCAUAGCUUUAUGAUUCGGGUUGAACUAACCAAAUAUUAUUAAAAAAACACAUUUAUAUUAAUAUUAGUCAAAUUAACAUUUAAUUAUGAAAAUCCGAGAUAUAAUCUAUGCAGCUCUUAUUUAUAAAACAAAUUAAAUACACAUUAAUCAAGUUGAGUUUAAUUGAUGAAAAGCCAAGGUAUAUCUCUAAUUAGCUUUUAGUUGGAAGAGUUGUUUAAAUAAACAUUAACCAAAUUACAUUAGUUAUGAAAAUACAAGGUUGAACUCUAAUUAGGUUUUAGUUAGAAAAGCAAGUAUAUAAGUACUUAAUCAUAUUAAUAUUUUGAAUAAAUUAAAAAAUAGAGAAUGUGAUCAACAUUGCUCCUAAUACGUAAUUUAAGUUAAUAUGAAUCUAACACAAUAAGAACGAGGUUAAACAGAGCUAAAACGCAAAAGAUAUGGCUUAACGAAGCUCUAGGGACUUGCUGGCAAGGUUUAGAAACUUCUAGGGGCUUAACUGCAAGAAACCGAGGGCCAACACCUAAUUAAGUGUAUAUAAACUGAAGGGGUAACAUAUGAAAGAGCUAAGCAGGAAAUUCGUGCACGAAAACUGUAAAGGUUAGGGGCUUAAACAGAAGAAACAGGACCUAAAUCUAAUGAUCCUUGAACUAGGAAACUGCGGGCGCAAAAACUGGAAAGCUAGGGGUUUCUUUUGCAAAACAGCCGAGGCUGAUUCGGGAUUGAUCCGAGUUGACCAGUACUGACUCUGGUGGGAAUCAAUCCGGACCGUCGGGAUGAGAUCGGGCGGUAGCGGCGGGUUCCAGUGUGAACGUCGGCGCGGGCGGCGGAGGCUAGCGGCGCUACAGGAGCAGUUCGCCGGGAUCGACUCGAUCUCGAGCAUCCGGCCAGGAUUCUCGACGGGAUCAAGCCCUGGAGACAUCUUAUGGAACGGAGAACUCAUCUAGGGUGUCCUUGUGGUGGUUUAGGUGGCGACGGCGGCAGGCGGCUCGGCGCGGCGGCGGUAAACACCGGCGAGCCUGGGCUAGCGGAAAACGGCACGAGAGCGAACGGGACUUGAACGGGCGGCUUCCAUACCUCCUUGCAAACCUCCAGGUGGUUAUCUCGUCAACGGAAGGGCGGCGACGGAGGAGAUCGACGGCGGCGGGUGUGCGCUUGCGCUCGGACUCGGGCUGCGGCGGCGCUGGAGCGCAGGGGCGCGGGGUUUAGGGUCUGGUGGGGCUUCGGGGGGGUGCGGCGGCUUGCUUUAUGAAGGCCCGGGGGGGCGGCCUUGGCGUGCGGGCCAAGACGCGGGGCGGCGCGGUCCGGCUCGGGAGCGGCGGGAGGAGGGGGGCCCCGCCUGUCAUCGGGACGAAGCGGAGGAGUGGCGCGGGAGCGGGCUGGCGCUGGAAGCUGGGCUGCUGCUGGGCCGGUAUGGAGGAUGGGGUGCUGGGCCGUCCUGCUGGCUGACUGCUGCGGAGCCGGGCCAAAAGAAGAAAGCGGGCCGAAAAAGAGGGAAGAAAGGGAGGGAAAAGGAAAAGGUUUUUCCUAUUGUUUAAGAAAAAUUCAAACAUGAAUUCAAAUGCAACUUUGAAUUCAAACAACCAAAAUCAAUGCACCAGCAUGAAUGCAGUACACACAGAGCAACCUUAUUUAAUUUUAAAAAAACAACCAAUUAUUUUUUCCUAUACUAAAUUUCCUGUCAAGAAAAUAAAUGUUGGCAAAAAAUUAAAAUUAUGAGAAAAUCAUUGUUUAUUUAUUCUUUUUAAUCACAUCCUGAAAUCCAACAAUUUCGGGGUGUGAAAAAAGUGUUCUAUGUGGAUGACUUGCUCCUCGCAGCUGUUAAGAGUACAUGAUGCCGAAAUGACAAGGAGAGAAAAGAAACAGUUCACGGUGAAUCAGAUACAGUCAUACAAAGAUAAAGAGGAUGCAGAGUAAGUUGUCAGUUAUUUCAGGCCAUUUUGUUAUUGAAAUCUUAUAGGUAGAUACCCCACGACGAAUCAGAAAACUUUUCUGAAAACAACGGCAAACAAUCAUAAUGGAACACAUAUGUCCCCAAUUAUUAACUUGUUGCUAAAUCAUGCACCAAGAACUACUGAACUGAAGGAUGCAGAGCAUAUAUAAUCAGGGAGUGGAGUGCUAUUCCCGAAUAAGUUUCAGAAUACCUGAGAAAAAAGACGCACAGCAACCUUCCCAUUGUUUGACUGAACUGAAUGUAGUUCGAGGAGCACGGGAGCCGAAUGAAUUAGGACCAAACUCACUACAGCUUGAUGCAAGCAUGUAAAUACGGAUAAUUUAAUCAUGUCCCCACCAUUUGCAUAAUUGCAUGUGCUGUCGUGCUGAGCAUGUGUGACGAGCAUUUCAGGGUCGUAUUUCAACUCAUGCAAGCAUAUCAAGAGUGCUAGCCUAAAAAUUAGAACACAUGCAACAGAGGUGUAGUUCAGUACGGAGUUAUACACCAAAGAUUGGGAUAAUCCUAUGUUAAAAUUUGGCCUGUUCGCUUCAGCUUAUUCAGCUGGCUUAUCAGCCACCAAACAGUAUUUUCCUCUCACAACAAAUCAGCCGUUUCAGCUUUUCAGCCGGCUUAUAAGCUGAAGCGAACAGGCCUAAUUCAGGGAUUGAAAUGUUUACUGCCCAGUUCAUUUCAAACUGCAAACCAUGCAUAGUCUGAAACUGAGUUAUACUGAAAGGUAAGAGCAACAUAGUAGUAGGCUUAUGCAUUAUAAAAUUUAGCUUCACCGAAUCUUUCGCAUGCACAAACCAUUAUAUUAUGUAGUGCAUUAUUGUAGACUAAAAGUUUAGGAUAUUUGUAUGAAUGCAUCUCUUUUUUAACAGAUUGAUAUUUGUGGUAUAAGGUACAAACUCAGAUGAACAAAUGAACUAAAAGAUUACUAAAGCAAGCUAGUGUACUAAGAACAAAUUGCGCUCCUAUUUCUCAAUACGACAAAAAUAUUCCUGCUCGAGAAGAUCUUGGUUGCACUUGAUCGCGGACCAAAUAGUGGUAGCAAUCGAUAUUGCAACACGGAUGCUCAGUGCAUAGGCUCUCACUUGCGUUGACAUGUGCUUGGUUCCAGCUGCAGAAGCAAUGCCAAAAACUACUCCCAUGGUAAGGGAAUAACCGAAAAACCAUACGAACCAAUAC
rnacentral:lncRNA from 1 species